AGGAAAAACACCGAUAUCUUUGCAGGAGGCUGCUUAUCUUCUUCGAAGGUCGGUAACACUUGUUUACUGUUUCUGCGUGCCAAUGAACACUGCUUUGCAAAAUUUCCAUAAUUAAGCAAAAUGAAGUGAAUAAUUUAAACAGUUGCGUUUUUUAAUACUCUGGCAUUAUAUCUGGGGAGUUUUCUUUCCAAUAGGGGCUUUUGCGUUUCAUUGUAUCCAAAAUCAGAGCUCAAUUUUGUAGAUAUACAGUUGGUUAAUUCAAGUUCUAAUUAUAUAAAAAUCUUCAUUUUCAUGAUUCAUUUUUUAUUUCUACUAGUGUCUUAUUGCGCCUUACACGCCUUAUAUAGAACUCCGGGUUCUACAUAAUAGUUAAACACGGACCGAACAGUUUCAACUCUCCAAUUUAAUGAAUGGAGAAAUGGGAGAAUUUAUGGGACAGAUAUUUUUAAAAUAUUAAGAAUUAAGACUUCAGUAUCAGUUUCGUGAUAAAUUUUGGCGAUUGUAAACCCAGGCGACUCUUAAUAGGAAAAGGGUUGUUUUAGUAGAAUUUAAAAAUGCAUGCCACCUAUAUAGCACAAGGGGAAGCUGUAUCCCUAAUUUGCAUCCCUUCCAGAAUCAAUAAAGGAGAGAUGAUCUAGUGUCGGCAAACUGAAUAUUUUUUAAUACCUCCUUCAGAUGGCGGUGUGAAACAUGGGAGAUGUAAAGUAUGAUUUCCAAAGUUGUUACUACGUUUUAAAGCAUCAAAUUUUUUGAGUCGGUAUGCGUAGUUUUCGUUAUUUGAAUGUGAAGGUAUUGUUUCCGUUACAGGCUCAGUUAGCCAUUUAAAUCAGUUUAGACUGUAAUCGUUAUAUUAUUUUGUUCAUUUAUUCAUUAGUACUUACAUAACAUUUAGUUUGAUGAUCAAUUCGCUUUUACCUACUCAUUUUUAGUUACUAGAAGAGGGCUAUUUAAAAAAUGUAUAAUUGUCUCGUUGCAUCAAAAUUUGAAGACAAACUCUUUUGUAAGUAAUUAACAAAAAGUUCCAUAUAAAGUAUAUUUCUUUAUAGUUUUCCAUUUCCAUUAUAUAAAAUUAAAACGGCCGCUAGAACCAACAGUUUCCGUUAAAAGAAUAAAACCCUAUUAAAGAGAUUUCAAAUUA
rnacentral:lncRNA from 1 species